AACGAACGCUGGCGGCAGGCUUAACACAUGCAAGUCGAGCGCCCCGCAAGGGGAGCGGCAGACGGGUGAGUAACGCGUGGGAAUCUACCCAGCCCUACGGAAUAGCUCCGGGAAACUGGAAUUAAUACCGUAUACGUCCGAUAGGAGAAAGAUUUAUCGGGGUUGGAUGAGCCCGCGUUGGAUUAGCUAGUUGGCGGGGU
rnacentral:rRNA from 1 species